rnacentral:lncRNA from 1 species
AUGGCUCACCUGCUGUUCAAGGCUGGGCAGCCUGCACUUUUCCAGAAUCUUAUCUUCCUCCUCCCAUUGUUGCCACACAUGUGCCUUACCUCACGUGUCACAGGAGGUCCCAAAGGUCCUAGUCUUAUGAGCCUCCUCUCUUCCUUCUCACUGAGCCAUGGCCUGUGUCAUGGGGCACAGCUAAACAUCUCACUCAAUAUCCAACUCAACAAAGGAAAGGCGGGCUUUCAGACAGGGUCCCCCAGUGGUUUGGGACAGUGUGGUCAUGAGCCAUUGGAAGAAGACAAAGGAGCUCACUUAAGGGCUCACACACCACAUCUCGGGGACAGGCCACUGGGUGACAGCACAGGUGUGAUCUACAAGCAGCUGAGGACAAAGCCCCGGAGAAGUCCAGGUGACAGACAAUUCAGGAAUUUCUUCUGGGAGCCCCAAGGAUCCCUGUGCCCAGACUUCAGGUGGGGAAUACAAAAUUAUACUUAAAAUCUUAAAAUCAUAGCACCUGCUUGAAGGGCCUGCCCCGAAGACUUACUGCGUUGGAGGCUACGGGUGAUCAUAGCAACAAGAAAUACAGCUUCCGUCAAUUCAGCCAAUAGUGUGUGCUCAUAGCACCUCUCAGUUGCCGUGUGUCGUAACCACAAAGGCUUAGCACUUGAUAUUUCUUAGAUUUAUUUUGAUAAUACCAUGUUAAUGUUAAGCGGAUGUAUAAAGAGGCGAGUCUGGAGAACUACAAAUAGAAGGAAAUUCGCUCUCAUCUAGUGGCUCACAAGAGGGCCUGCAUGGAGGAGGAGGCAGUGAGGACCCAUGGGGCAGACCCCAGACGACCCUCAGCCAGGCCUGCCGGCUGCGCAUAGGGACACCUGUUCUUUCCUUUUGGCUCUACAGUUCUGAGUUUCCACUGGCCACACGAACAUAGAGAUUCCCAAAUCCUCUUCAAAUAGAGGCCCUGUUCAAGGCUCGUUGGCCCCAAAAUCUCUCUUUCCCUCCUCUCUCUCUGUCUGUCUCUGUCUGCGUGUCCAUCUGCAUAGCCCUCCAGCUCUUGUCCUGCAGCCUUGCUCCUUCUGCUCCUGAAGGCGUCUCUGCUUCUCCCCACCACUCAACUCCAUCUGCUAAAUCUGUGCGCCCACCCCACUUGCUGAACCUGCCCUGGCCAAGGUCGCUUCCUAAAUGCCACGCAAGCUGGGGUCGCCUUCAGUGCUUACUCCUUUGUCCCUGUGGCAUCCAGCACUCCCGACCAUGUUCUUUUUUUGCCAAGACCCCCUCCACCUUGGCUUUCCUGCCUCUCAUUACAGCCCUGACUCCCAGCUUGUUUUAACUCCGAGGUUCCCCCACCGGGUCCUCGUCUUCCACUUGCCCCUGAACCGUGCGUGUUUUCUGGGUCCUCUGCUCGGUCCCCUUUCCCACCACCCCCCAUGCAUGGACAGUCUCACUGCUCCAGAGAAGGGACUAAUCUUUCCCAGACACGGACGUCUACCUGCCCUGUGCUCAGCCCCUUCCUGGACAUUUCCCCUGAGGUGUCUCCCAUCAUGGUCCCAGAUGACCUCACCAUGGCCCUCCUAUCUCCCUC